rnacentral:lncRNA from 1 species
AACUGCUGACAUUCACUGUGUCCAUCACCUGCCAGGACCAGGUCAGGUCCUUUGCGGGCAUCAUCUCUGCCCCUCUAACCUCCACCACUGACCUCUGAGUAACUGGCCACUAGGCCCUGUUUCCUACACGAAGAAGCCAAAGGAAGCGUGAAAAAGUUAAGGAAGCGGUCCAAGGCCCGUAGCUAGGAUGUUGUCAUGAUCUGUCUUUUAUUAAAGCCCACGCUCUAAGCCAGCCCCAUUCUGACUCCCUAUAUAACGGAGGGGUGGGAAGGACCUUCUAAACUGGGGAAUCGUGUGAGUCAGGGUUAGGAAUUCACAGCGUUUGAUGUGGGGGGUGAGAAGACGCCUCUGGAGCUCACGGUGCGUGCUGGGAAACAGUAAGAGUGACGGUGGAGACGGCAGAAGCCCUUUCGAGCUGGGCAGAAAAGCUGCAGUUACCUUCAGGACACAAGGAGGAUCUAACAUGAACGUGGGAGGGAAAAAAAAAGAUUCCCAAAGACAUUCCUAGUUUCCCAAAACAGAACCACUUAUUAUUUCAGUCUGCGUUAGUACCUUGGAAACCAGAGACAUUUGUUACAUCGCCCUUUACAAGCGCACUGAGCAACCGCUACGCCAGGACUGAUGUUGGAUUCUCUUUGUGAUGGUGAGUCCUGCUGACACACAUAAUGGGUUAGGUUGAUUCCGGUCAAUGACUGUGAAAUAGCAACUGUAACACUUGACUUAAGCCCUGCCACGAGCUCAAUUCUUAAACCUCUAAGGGAUACAUGUCCUUAGACAGAUAAACAUGUGGACGCUUGUGGAUACAUACACGUAUAGAUACACAGGUAUUGCCUUUAUAAUGGAAAGAACUGUUGUUACUAACUCUUUCAGUCAUUACGUAUGUAAGGUUGUGAAUUCACCCACUCAAAUACGCAAAUGUAAUGACUUUUUAAAUUAAGGCAGUCAAAAUGGAAAGGAUUUGUAUUUAUUAAGCAUCUAUUAUGGACGUGGUUUCAUGCCAAGGGUUUCAGAAUUGUUUCAUCAAUUAAAAUUUCACAGCAUUCUUUUUUUUUUUUUUUUUUUUUUUGGUCUUUUUAGGGCCACACACACAGCAAUAUGAAGUUCCCAGGCUAGGGGUGAAAUCGGAGCUGUAGCUGCCAGCCACACCACAGCCACGCCAGAUUCGAGCUGUGUCUGCAAACUACACCACAGCUCACGGCAAUGCCAGAUCCUUAACCCACUGAUAGAGGCCA